UUGCUUUGGCAGCACACAUGCUAAAAUUGGAAUGAUACAGAGAAGAUUAGCAUGGCCCCUGCACAAGGAUAAUACACAAAUUUGUGAAGCAUUCCAUAUUAAA